rnacentral:sRNA from 1 species
AGCGGAAUUCGUGAGACCUUUUUUUUUUUUUCAAGAAUGCAGGAGAAAGCAAGCCAGUAGCCUCCCUGCCUGCUUUUAAUGUUUCAACUCAGAGAGCUUCAGAGUGACCUGAAACCAUGAUUGCCCUGAAGUCACCACCCGCAAUCAGGGUCAGCUAAUCCCCAGGAGAACUCUCUCUCCACAGCAACAUGUCAGCCCAUGAAUGAAAGGAGAAAAACGGAAGGCAAGAAAGACACAACUUUGUUCCUUAUUGUAAAAAUGUCUGUCACCUUACCUCAGGGGCACAUUGAAAACCUGAGUGCCCUUCCCAGGCAGGAGAAGGUCACAUCCUGGGGUCGGGCAGAGGGAA